rnacentral:rRNA from 1 species
AUGGUGCUUUGUUCUAGCGAGUCAUCUUGCUUUUUGUUCUUCCUUUUCAUAGGGGUAAGCAAUGUUGUGGUUGGCAAGGGGUCUUAUGAGGUUAAUCAAAGCAUGGGCGGUCAAUUAGUGUUUCAGCCAUCGCCCAUGUGUAGGGAUGAAAAUGGAGUGGAAGUUUCUGCUUUUCCGGAGAAAAAAUGGAAAUGGAGAGGAAAUAUGACAACAGAAACAGAAAUUUGCAAAUCUGAAAUGGAAAUGGAAUUUUUUAUGCGGAAACGGAAACAAAAACGGAAAUUGUGUUUUCCGGUGGAACACACGUGGAAACGGAACUUUCCGUUUCCGUUAAUAUGGAAUUUCCGUUUCUACUAG